rnacentral:misc_RNA from 1 species
UCCGAGUUGACCCCGGCAGUCUCAUAUGAGUUCCCACCAUCACGUGCUGGCAACAUACGACGAGGGUUGCGCUCGUUGCGGGACUUAACCCAACAUCUCACGACACGAGCUGACGACAGCCAUGCACCACCUGUGAACCGACCACAAGGGGGCACCUAUCUCUAGAUGUUUCCAGUCCAUGUCAAGCCCAGGUAAGGUUCUUCGCGUUGCAUCGAAUUAAUCCACAUGCUCCGCCGCUUGUGCGGGCCCCCGUCAAUUCCUUUGAGUUUCAGCCUUGCGGCCGUACUCCCCAGGCGGGGCACUUAAUGCGUUAGCGCCGGCACCCAGGGGGUCGCUCCCCCAGGCACCUAGUGCCCAUCGUUUACGGCGUGGACUAC